rnacentral:rRNA from 1 species
GACGAACGCUGGCGGCGUGCUUAACACAUGCAGGUCGAACGGAAAGGCCCUGCUUUUGUGGGGUGCUCGAGUGGCGAACGGGUGAGUAACACGUGAGUAACCUGCCCUUGACUUUGGGAUAACUUCAGGAAACUGGGGCUAAUACCGGAUAGGAGCUCCUGCUGCAUGGUGGGGGUUGGAAAGUUUCGGCGGUUGGGGAUGGACUCGCGGCUUAUCAGCUUGCUGGUGGGGUAGUGGCUUACCAAGGCUUUGACGGGUAGCCGGCCUGAGAGGGUGACCGGCCACAUUGGGACUGAGAUACGGCCCAGACUCCUACGGGAGGCAGCAGUGGGGAAUAUUGCACAAUGGGCGGAAGCCUGAUGCAGCAACGCCGCGUGCGGGAUGACGGCCUUCGGGUUGUAAACCGCUUUCGCCUGUGACGAAGCGUGAGUGACGGUAAUGGGUAAAGAAGCACCGGCUAACUACGUG